rnacentral:rRNA from 1 species
GUGGAAAGCGGCGGACGGGUGAGUAACGCGUAGGCAACCUGCCCUUUGCAGAGGGAUAGCCUCGGGAAACCGGGAUUAAAACCUCAUAAUACCGCAGUGAGACAUCUCACGGCGGUCAAAGAUUUAUCGGCAAAGGAUGGGCCUGCGUCUGAUUAGUUAGUUGGUGGGGUAACGGCCUACCAAGGCGACGAUCAGUAGCCGACCUGAGAGGGUGAUCGGCCACAUUGGAACUGAGACACGGUCCAAACUCC